GACGAAGGUGGCGAGCGUUGUUCGGAAUCACUGGGCAUAAAGCGCAUGUAGGCGGCGACGUAAGUUGGGUGUGAAAUCCCUCGGCCCAACCGAGGAACUGCGCUCAGUACUGCGUUGCUUGAGGAUCCAAGGGGUGCAUGGAAUUCCUGGUGUAGCGGUGAAAUGCGCAGAUAUCAGGAGGAACACCGGUGGCGAAGGCGGGUCUCUGGGCCGUAACUGACGCUGAGGAGCGAAAGCGUGGGGAGCGAACAGG
rnacentral:rRNA from 1 species